GUGCCUCAGCAGCACAUGUAUUAAAACUGAAACGAUACAGGGAAGAUUAACAUGGCCCCUGCAGAAGCGCGACAUACAAAUUCGUGAAACGUUGCAAAUCUUU
ensembl:snRNA U6 U6 spliceosomal RNA